rnacentral:misc_RNA from 1 species
AAGUCGUAACAAGGUUUCCGUAGGUCAACCUGCGGAAGGAUCAUUAAUGAAUUUUGGAGUUCUACUGUGCCUGCCGUUCAUUUGGAUGUGUGCACGUAGUCUCUAUAAAUCCUUAUCAACACCUGUGCACCUUUAAAAAGGGGAAACUGAUUAAGCUUUUUACGGGCUUAUGAGGAAUAACCUUUUUUCUUAUACAAACUCUUAAUGUCUAUUAGAAUGUUCUCUGGCCGCAAGGCUAUAAAAUAUAAACAACUUUUAACAACGGAUCUCUUGGCUCUC